GUGGGGAAUAUUGCACAAUGGAGGAAACUCUGAUGCAGCGACGCCGCGUGAACGACGAAGGCCUUCGGGUCGUAAAGUUCUGUCCUUGGGGACGAUAAUGACGGUACCCAAGGAGGAAGCCCCGGCUAACUACGUGCCAGCAGCCGCGGUAAUACGUAGGGGGCGAGCGUUGUCCGGAAUUAUUGGGCGUAAAGGGUUCGCAGGCGGUUCCUUAAGUCAGAUGUUAAAUGCAUAGGCUCAACCUAUGAGUGCAUUUGAAACUGGGGAACUUGAGUUAAGGAGAGGAAAGUGGAAUUCCUAGUGUAGCGGUGAAAUGCGUAGAUAUUAGGAGGAAUACCAGUGGCGAAGGCGACUUUCUGGACUUAAACUGACGCUGAGGAACGAAAGCAUGGGGAGCAAACAGGAUUAGAUACCCCAGUAGUCC
rnacentral:rRNA from 1 species